rnacentral:rRNA from 1 species
CCUANGGGAGGCUGCAGUGGGGAAUUUUUGGCAAUGGGGGAAACCCUGACCAAGCAACGCCGCGUGGGUGAUGAAGUAUCUUGGUACGUAAAACCCUUUCGGCAGGGACGAAGAAUGUGACGGUACCUGCGGAAGAAGCUCCGGCUAACUCCGUGCCAGCAGCCGCGGUAAUACGGGGGGAGCGAGCGUUGUUCGGAAUUACUGGGCGUAAAGGGCGCGCAGGCGGUUGGAUAAGAGAGUGGUGAAAACCCCGGGCUCAACCUGGGGCCGGCCACGCAGACUGUCCGGCUGGAGUGUGGGGAGGGAAGUGGAAUUCCUGGUGUAGCGGUGAAAUGCGUAGAUAGCAGGAGGAACACCGGUGGCGAAGGCGGCUUCCUGGACCACAACUGACGCUGAGGCGCGAAAGCCAGGGGAGCAAACAGGAUUAGAUACCCCANUAGUC